UUACUUUUUUCCGUAUUUUCGUUAUCGAGGGAGCUUCCAAUUUCAAAUAUCAUCAUAUCAUUAUACUAAUCAGUCAUUGGGCGAUCCGGCUGAGUGCCGGAUCGCAUUCGGUAGCCGACUGGGCUCUAUCGGCGUUGGUGGUGGAGAUUCCAGUCGCCUUCCAAUGGUCUGGCCGUUGGAUCAGUACAUUUGUGUGGGUGUAAUUGAAUCUUCGACCUCCGUCGAACUUCACUGACUCAGGUGUAUUGUUAUCCUGAAAUUGUGAAUCCAAGUAGAAUUCAAAGCAAUGCUGCUGCCAUUUUAUAAUUGACAUCACCCACGAGCAUAUGUAUGUCUCCCAUUGUCUUGCUCGGUGAACCUUGGGGAUUGUGUACUUAAUGCUCACAUAAAUACCAUUCGGAGUUUGUCAGGCUUCUUGUGCUUCUUUUAAUGUGCUUGGAGUUUGGAAUAUUCUCCAACAUCUGUAUGUAUUAUUACGUUAUUUGUACUGGUUUGUUUUUUCUUUCAUGCCGGAUCACUUUUUCCUCAUAGUUUGUUGAAUGGAUUUAUUUGUUUUCUGCUGUA